CGUUGUGUUUUCACUUCAGGACCAUUUAAAUUAAUCAGGGAACCCGUUUAAAGUGCGGGGCGGUUCUGCCGCUGUGAUUCCUCCAUUUCAUGGAUCAGGAAAAGCCAGCAACCCUGCCUGAAGCAUAUCUGCACA
rnacentral:ncRNA from 2 species